UGGGGAAUAUUGGACAAUGGGCGCAAGCCUGAUCCAGCCAUGCCGCGUGAGUGAUGAAGGCCCUAGUGUUGUAAAGCUCUUUCACCGGUGAAGAUAAUGACGGUAACCGGAGAAGAAGCCCCGGCUAACUUCGUGCCAGCAGCCGCGGUAAUACGAAGGGGGCUAGCGUUGUUCGGAUUUACUGGGCGUAAAGCGCACGUAGGCGGACUUUUAAGUCAGGGGUGAAAUCCCGGGGCUCAACCCCGGAACUGCCUUUGAUACUGGAAGUCUUGAGUAUGGUAGAGGUGAGUGGAAUUCCGAGUGUAGAGGUGAAAUUCGUAGAUAUUCGGAGGAACACCAGUGGCGAAGGCGGCUCACUGGACCAUUACUGACGCUGAGGUGCGAAAGCGUGGGGAGCAAACAGG
rnacentral:rRNA from 1 species